rnacentral:rRNA from 1 species
UUUUAAAACGGACAGCGGCGAAAGGGAGAGUAACGAGUAGAUACGUACCCAAGGGUUCGGGAUAGCCAUGCGAAAGCGUGAGUAAUACCGAAUAAUGUCUCCGGACCAAAGAUUUAUUGCCCUUGGAGCGGUUUGCUUACUAUUAGCUUGUUGGUGGGGUAAAGGCCUACCAAGGCUUAGAUGGUUAGCGGGUGUGAGAGCAUGACCCGUCUCACUGGGACUGAGACACUGCCCAGACACCUACGGGUGGCUGCAGUCGAGAAUCUUCCGCAAUGGACGAAAGUCUGACGGAGCGACGCCGCGUGCUGGAUGAAGGCCCUCGGGUUGUAAACAGCUGUCGUACGGGAGGAAAUUUUGACCGAUCCUACGAG